UACGUAGGGGGCAAGCGUUGUCCGGACUUACUGGGCGUAAAGCGCGCGCAGGCGGACCUGUAUGUGCCGUGUGAAAGCGCCGGACUUACUUCGGCGAGGUCAUGGUAGACAGCAGGUCUGGAGCCUCGGAGAGGUCGGUGGAAUUCCCGGUGUAGUGGUGAAAUGCGUAGAUAUCGGGAGGAACACCAGUGGCGAAGGCGACUACCUGGCCUGUUCUUGACGCUGAGGCGCGAAAGCUAGGGGAGCAAACGGG
rnacentral:rRNA from 1 species